CGUUGGCGCCACUAGCACUGGCGUCGUGCGUUGCAGUAUAAGUUUUCCAAAUUCUGCGUCGUAACGUGUGAAAGAGCCUCUUGCGAAUUUUUCAGGGAUUAAUUAAAAAUGCGUCCUAAUUAGUGCACGUGGACACUCAAAAUGAUGCCUACCUCACACGUGUUGCCUGUACUGUUACUUUUAACAGCGCUCCAAGAUUCAACAUCGGCGAUAAAAUGCUUUGUGUGUUCGGACAAGUCCCCUAACUGCGGGGAUCCCUUCAAUAAAACGGCGCUUAGCCCGGAGAUAUGCGAUCCUUCGACCCCCGUUUGCCUCAAGGAGAAAUUUGGCGCAGGGGGUAAACUUGGAGGACUCCGCCGGAGCUGCAUCAGUAAAGCACACUGCGACGUCCAAUCAAAAUCAUCGACGCUCUGCUCAAUUUGCAAUACAGACCUAUGCAACUCGUCCCCUAACGUGGAAUUAAACAUUUGCGUAUCUCUCUGUGUGUAUUCUUCACUUGCGUUUUUCUUUUACACGUAAAUUUUUGCAACGCUCUGUGUAUGAUACUAAGGUAGAUAGACUAGAUAAAAAUAGUUACAGCUUUAAAAUUGUUUCACUCCUCCUCUGCUGUUGAUUUAAAAAUAAACCCAGCAUUUUAAUUUACAUUUAAACCGAUUCCAGACGCGUUACUGUUUUUUCAAAAAAUAAAAGAUGAAGUUAUUACUAGCAAUAUUAAUUAGUACGUCUUUUAUGACUGUUGGAGUAUCUAAACAAUGUUUCACUUGCGUAUCGAACGAAAAGAAUGAAAAUAACUGUUCAGAUCCUUUUACUGGUAAAUCCCUGCAUAGGCAUACGUGCGAUGUACCGAGCGCAGUGUGCGUUAUAGAAAAAACCGCCCCCGGUGAAGCGACAAGGGAACAUGUAUUUCGAGGAUGUGUGGCAUCUGAUUACUGUACAGUUUCGGGCAAACAUGCAAGGUUUUGCCAAACGUGUGAUGUAGAUUUCUGCAAUUCAUCGGCAGUGCUAACGGCGAGUCUGCUGAUGCUUUCUGUUUUAUAUCUAAUGAAGUUUGUAAUAUAAAUAUCAAUUUGCAAAGAAGUUAUUACUAUUGUAAACGUCACAUUUAAUACGUUUGCGUUUCAGCUGUGUUUAAAUUAAACGUGGUCUAAAACCUAAGACUAUGGCUUAAAUUUCACGUGGCAAACCACCAUUAGUUACUUUCAGUGGACCCAGUUUGAGUCCUAGUUCAUACACCCUGUCAUUGGGUCAAACCGGAUCAAACUGCCCCCACAUCUGUAGCAGAAGUAAACUGAAUAUAUGCCCAGUUGAAGUACAGUAAUCGGUAUACUAGACUAUAACCAUAGUUACUUCUAGUGAUUGCUUGUGAAUGAUCUAUUGUAUUGAAUUCCAAUUCUAAUCCUUAGUGUGUUAGGCCAUCGAAAAAAAUAAGCAAAUAAUGGAAAACAGCAUAAUUCCGUGUGACGGUGACUUAAUCAGUCCAGAGUUGCAUAAUUCUAGUGAGCAGGUUUCGCAGUCCGCCGUUGAGUUCUUCAGUAACGUGCACAAUCCUUCAACUCCACAUCCUCUAAGGGUCCCUGCAAAAUCAAGAUCAUUACCAUUACUUUUUCCCCCAUUCACAGUUACUGACCUGCCCACGGAAGAAACUGUUUAACGCAGACCUGGUUUUCAAUAGGACAGGAUUGAGCAGGCACCUUAGUAUGGUUAAAGGGCUCACCACAGCCUGGGACUAAUUCAGAUGAGCAGGUGUAACAGUGCAAGGUUGAAACUGAGAAAAAAGGAGAAAUAAUUUAGGAUUUCUUUGGUUUGCUUACCCAAUUGAAGUGAUGCGAUCAUAACCACAGCAACUUGCACUAAUCGAAUAGGCUGGGAACCCAUGUCACAACUAUUUUUGUCUGAAACUUAGACAGCAUGACACUUCCAUUAUAUGGUACCUCGAUGGUACGUUAUCAGCAUUUCUCCUGCGUAUCCAAAUAUCUAAUUCCGGCGACUAAUUAUAAGUGCGUAUAGUUCCAUAACAAUAUUUAUCUGUAUAUUGUAACCAACUAAUUAUGGCCACUACAAACUGUUACUGUAUAUGUUUGUGUAAAUCAUUAGUGGUUAGAUAAAUAACGCUACUCAAAUGAUAUUAUAUCGUAGAAUUCUUGUGAAAUUCCGUAAACAUUACGAAAUUCGAAGUGCCCCUCCGUAUGUGUUCUCUUUUUUCGAAAAUUCGCCUUUUAAGUACCUCCGUUUCCGACAAACUUGUCAAAGAGUAUUUGCCCAAAACUCGUUUUCUUUUAAAAAUCCACCUUCGUCCCCAGAAAAUUCACCCUCGCAGGUUCGACCUCGUAAAAUUCGCCCCGAAAGGUUCGUUCAAAGAGAAUCGCCGCAGUAAAAAUUCGUCCGCACUAGUAAUUUAUUACAUUAUCAACAGGCUUGCGCCCAAUUACAGAGUGAGAGAGAAGAAGUGACCAACCCUACAUUGUCCCUCUUUUUGUCUAUCAACAAUUAUUAACGGAGUGACGACAUCCUCAAGUAAAUUCGUCUCCAGAAAAUUCACCCCGGACUAUUAACCCCGAGGGACUCGUUGCAGGAAGUUCGCUUUCGAAAAUCCUCUCCGAUAUAAAUCCGUCCCAGUGAAUUUACCCUUGAAAACUCACCCUUUCGUCCCCGAAAAAUCUGUGCCUUCGGAAAAUUGAGCACCGGAAUAGUUUCACUCCCGUAAGUUCCGUCACAGGAAUUUCGUCAAUAGAUACAGAAGGGAAAGUUAAAAUUAAGUAGAUUCUAUUUAUCUCUUUUUUUAAAGUUAUAUUUUCCUUUGGAACAAGUGCAUGCCAAGACAGUAUUCUAGUGCAGGUGAAUUUUCUUUGGGAGAAUGUACUUAAUUCUGUGCUCUCUUCAAUUGCAAAUAUUCUAGAAGUAAAUCUUCCGGGGGUGAGUUUUUCGGUUGCGCCCCAUAUGAAUGUUGUAUGGAAAGCUUAUAAAGUAUCGAUAACCUACUAGUGUUUCUACAGUAAUUACGGAUGACAUCCUUACCCCGUAAUUAUUUCGCAAUAGUACUACCAUUGAAUUUAUAUCAAUUCAAUAGUGCUACAUCCGUUGGCAGAUGACGAAUGUUAUACAUAAGGUAAACGAAGGUUUAUUGCAAAACGCCUUACAAUAUAAACAAUUACUAAUAGCGUACACGAACUGGUAACCGAAAAAGCCUUAUUGCACAAAUCCUCAUCGCAAGUAAUGCAGUGCUCUUCGUACUCGUCAACCUUACUGCAGUAAUACUGGUCCACGCAUCCUCUCUGAAUAAUCUCAGGAACCCGUACUGAAAAGUGACCACAUACUAAAAUCGCUCCCCACAAUACUUACCUUUUUAAACAUUACGAACUGGUGGUGACUUGUGUAUCAUACACAGAUCGUAUCUACUAUCACAUUCCACUUUGUCAAUAUUAUCCGAUUCGAAAUCUUCCCCGCAAUCCUCCUCUAAAAAAUCUACGCACUCGUAACACAUAAUCGCCAACCCAUCGCGUACCAAAACGGCUAUUAUUACCGAAAUUACGGAGUAGUGGAGCAUUUUGCGUACCUAUUUGUUAACACUACUAAAUAAAGUGAUUAAGUUAUGUCAUUGUUACGGUUAAUUUCAAUUAAAGCUUCCGUUUUUACGAACCUAUUAUUUUAGAUGCUGCUUUCCGCUUCUCACAUUCAUUUUUCACUGUCUCUUCAGUUAAAAAUCUUAUAACGAGUACCUUUUCAGUUAAGAAAGAAAGGAGUAGGUACGGAUAUUGCAAAAUCAAUCAAAAACAUGCAAAAUAUGCUGUUCAGAAUAUUCUCAUAAACCACUUUCCUACUGUAUAAGCAUGGAAAAACAAAUCAUUUUCUGAAGGUAUAAAUCAUGCCACUUUUCUUACAAGUAAAAGUUCAUAAACUCACAAAAGGAGAAACAAGGGACCAUUCUUAGAGCUCCGAUUAUUGAGUAGGUAUAUGGAAAAAAACGUGAGAUUUAAUCUAUGUAAGUAAGAUUGCACCGAUGAAGAAAGCAUCAAGUAAGGCCCUUCAUGUUCAAAGACAUUAUGCAUCUCCAUUCAAGCACCUAAAGGGCCACUUGCGUUAUACAGACGAUGGCCUGCAAGCCGUAAAAAGCGACUGCGAAAGGAUCCAAAUUGCUUGGUUGGAUGGCACAUAGUUAUGUAAACGAAGUCCGGAAGUUAGUCAAUUAAUCCUCGGCUAAUAAGUGCACUUUUAUUAGCACAAACGGUUAUGCUGAAAGCAUGUCGACGAUGAAAACUUGCCACCUAAUUACAGUCAUAUUGACGAUACUAACACACCGAGGAUUCGCCUUGCUAUGUUACGAAUGCACCGAUUUCUGGGACGACGAGUGCGGAGAAGAUUUCGAAUCCGACGGCGUCGAUAAGACCGAAUGCAGCGGAAAGGACGUCUGCAUGAUACACAGAGCUCCAGAAGUUUGUAAGUAGACGCAUUUCAAGUUUACAUGACCGUGACUCUUUUUACAGUGCAUGUUCCCGAAAUAAUCCAAAGAGGUUGUAUUGACCCACUUUACUGCAGUAAAAUGGACGAAUUUUCCGAACACUGUAUUACGUGCAACGAGGACCUAUGCAAUACAUCGCCGCAAACUCAAGCUUCAGUUUACGCACUUGUAAUUAUGUUAGUGUCUCUCAUUACCACCUAUUAACACAGCAGGCCUAAUUUUUACUAUUAAAAAAUUUUAAAUAAUUAAGCUAAAUAUAAUUCGGAAAGUAAAGUCGGACAUGCGCAGGUUGACCUAUUUCUAGGUUGAGCUCUACUUACAUAGUUUUAUUCAAAAUGUCUAAAUAUAAGUGUCAUUUGCUAAUCGUUUCUCUUUGUAUAAUUUCGUUAAUAAAGGAAGGAGUUACAUUCAAAUGCUACAAAUGCACAAGUCAAGGGGCCCAGGGUUGCAAGGAUCCGUUCAACGUCACCCAAUUGGUCUUGACAGAAGACUGCAAUUACGACUACCAGGUGUGCGUAAAACAAGAGAUUAUGUCUCCGUACCAUUUGGUGGAAGAUGAAAUCAAAAGGGGAUGCAUGCACGAAGAUUACUGCUAUGUUGAGGGAAUGCGAUCAACGCACUGCUCCACGUGCAAAUCAUACCUGUGUAACUCCGCGAUCAGUCUAAGUUUUCUGUCGCUUCCCAUCUUGUUUUUAUACCAAUUUGCGUUGCACUUAAUAAAAUGUUGAUAACUAUGUUGUUCGCGAAAUGGUAAAUCCCUUAGGAAGAAACUGAAAAUCGAUCAGUAUUAUAUUUACGUUAGUUUGUUCAAUACAGCAAGGCAUGUGUAGUUGUUAAGAAAACCAAGCGCUACUACUUUAACAAUAAAACUCGGUUUAUAUUGAUAUCGUGCUUCAUUGUUAAUAACGUAAAAAGUUUAUAUAAUAGUUUCAAUCCAGUUCUAUUUCGAAAAGCAAUCACGAGCUACCUAAGUUCAAUGGUUAAUUUCAAAUUUCAAAAAGCAAUUACCUCGCUCUUCAAAAAUGACUUCAUGUUUGUAUAGUUUUGUUUGUCUUAUUUCGUAUUAACCCUUCAGUACAUGACUAUAGUGUGGAAAAGACCGCACCUUGACCAAUGGAAUCUUGGGUUUAGAUGUGCCUUCUGGCCGUUGUCGAUUCCACCAUAGAUCGCACUGCUCUUAGCUUAUGCUUUUCACCUUAGGAUUUCUACAAUACUACUGUUUAUAUUCAAGCUGUACGUUUCACAAUGCUUAGGAGUGGGAUUUUUUUCUAGAAGGUAGUUUUCUUUAUUAUUUUUGUGUUCAAUUUUUAUGUGCCAUAAUAGUUUUUAUGUGUAUAAAGUUGCAUUUUAUUGCAAUAUUAGUGAUAAUAAUACAAUAACUACCUACUAGAAAAAAAGUUAAUACGGUCGAUUCUACCAAAGCGCGUGUGCUGAAGGGUAAAAGAGAUAAACUGAAACAGUUCAAGGUUCACACGUCUUUGAAACAAAAUACGCCGUUCGGCGAUAAGGGGAUCAAUUGCGCUGAUGAUCGCCAUGAAAAAAUUCGUCGCGUGUUUUUUGUUUCUGCUUUUAAUUGGCACAGGUUUAACGUUGAAGUGUUACAAGUAUCACUGUAGUGGUGACUGUUGGAGUUUGGACGAACCGUACCAUGAGAAACUUCGCGUUAAAGAGGAGUGUACGGGUGCAACCGACUUAUGUGCAGUAUCUCUACCCGUAAAAAUUCAUGGUCCGAUAUAUAGAGGAUGUACCAGCGACAAAAACUUCUGUGAUACAAAUCAUCCCCCCAUGUACAAAUGUUACACAUGCAACGAGGAUCUCUGCAAUUCGGUGUAGUUAUUUAGGAUUAGAAAUUCAUUUUUAAAUUGUAUCCAUGCAAAUAGAUCACCUAAUCACAUUUUCAUAAAAUAAACAGAGAAGUCAAUUCCAAUGCGGAAUUAUUCCCCACAUAGUUAACUUACAACAACGUCCGUUACUUAAUUACGAACCUUAAAUGAAGCACCUUCCUUAUGUUUAAUGAUCACUUUGAAUCUUUUUGAUUUCUUAUGAGUUUCCUGAUCUUUUGAAUUAGAAUUAGUCUUACUAUUUCUAGUAACUUUUUGUGUUUAGAUUCUGUGUAAUUCCUGAAAGGCUUUUAGAAUCACAACAAAGUAACAGAAUCGAAUUAGAAUAAUUUUUCAGAUGCGUUUCCUGGAAGUUCAUCAGCUGUGAUUUCGAAAGAAUGUAUCUUGUUGUAUAAUGGGUAUGACACGAAUUACAGGUUAAGGGCUUCGCAGGUUAGAAUCCGGGUUUGAGCACUGUUAUAACGGGUUAAUAGAUCUGACACAGUACCCUCGGCUUCUGCCUACAAAGAUUUUUUAUUACCAGCAGAUUAUGUGAGGAAUCCCAUAUGAUCGCUGAAUAUUCUAUGGAGAAUCUCUCAUAAAACAAUUACGCCGCAAUUUCUAAAAAAACUUUCAGUAAUUAUCUCAACAUUUCAUUCAUUCCUUCAUGUAUUCAUAGUAAAAUACGAGUUUAGUAAUUCAUCGUCUUUGUGACUUGGAAAACAGUAACGAAUAAAGUUAUAAACACA